rnacentral:rRNA from 1 species
UACGUAGGGGGCAAGCGUUAUCCGGAAUUAUUGGGCGUAAAGAGUACGUAGGCGGUUCUUUAGGCGCAGGGUUUAAGGCGAUAGCUUAACUAUCGUUCGCCCUGUGAACUGGGGGACUUGAGUAUCGGAGAGGAAAGCGGAAUUCCUAGUGUAGCGGUGAAAUGCGUAGAUAUUAGGAGGAACACCAGUGGCGAAGGCGGCUUUCUGGACGAAAACUGACGCUGAGGUACGAAAGCGUGGGGAGCAAACAGG